rnacentral:lncRNA from 1 species
AGUGAUAUUGAAAAUCUUCCGCACAGCUUUAUACGACUUGUUCUUAAUCCUAUCAGCAAUCGCUUGACACAACAGAUCCAUCAAACUCUUAAUAUCAAGGUAAUUAGCAGCCAAUACAAGUUCAAACAGGUCUUGAAAGGUAGCAUUCACGAAUUCAUUGUCGAAUUUUUCGAUUUCUUUGUUGAACUCCGUCUUCUCAUUGGCGUGCAUCUUCAGGUACUCUGUAAUUUUGGAUAGGUUUUUUGUAUCGACGUUGGGGAGCGGAAUGAGAGUGUAAUCGUCCUAGGUCUUGAAAGGUAGCAUUCACGAAUUCCUUGUCGAAUUUUUCGAUUUCUUCUUUGUUCGACUCCGUCUUCUCAUCGGCGUGCAUCUUCAGGUACUCUGUAAUUUUGGUUAGGUUUUUGGUAUCGACGUUUGGGAGCGGAAUGAGAGUGUAAUCGUCCUCCACCAUGUUUUUAAUGGUUAUUGAUUGAACGGCGGCGUUUUCUUCUAACUGAAAUUCGUCGCCGUCGG